AGGACCACGAGCGCCGCAAGGA
rnacentral:miRNA from 1 species